CUACAUAGAAGGGCACACAUUUCAAACCUCAGGACCAUGCAUCGGCUCUAAAUUAAGUAACAAGAGCAGGAAAAACACAAGGAGCUAGAUGUGGGAGCAUACAGAAGACAAAAGACAUAUUAUUUCAUUCCUGACAGUCAAUUCAAUAUAUGUCUCCUCAGGAGCCAGUUCUAUUGAGUUCAAUGGAAUUUACUCCCAGCUCACCCAGUGGCACCUGAAAGCUGAGAUGAAGCAACUUACAGUGAAGACUCCCUGGGCACUGGUUGAAAGGAUAAGAAUUACCUAUGAAACCAACACCCUCUUCUAUGAUUUACGGGACCACUUUGUUCUGUUUAGUCUGAGACUGUAUAUCCACAUAUACAUUUUCCUACCAGCAACAAGGAGCACCUCGAUGUUCUUAAAUGAUUAUUUAUUCUGAUAAACAUUUUAAGAACUA